GGUUAGUGCAAUGGCAUAAGCCAGCUUGACUGCGAGCGUGACGGCGCGAGCAGGUGCGAAAGCAGGUCAUAGUGAUCCGGUGGUUCUGAAUGGAAGGGCCAUCGCUCAACGGAUAAAAGGUACUCCGGGGAUAACAGGCUGAUACCGCCCAAGAGUUCAUAUCGACGGCGGUGUUUGGCACCUCGAUGUCGGCUCAUCACAUCCUGGGGCUGAAGUAGGUCCCAAGGGUAUGGCUGUUCGCCAUUUAAAGUGGUACGCGAGCUGGGUUUAGAACGUCGUGAGACAGUUCGGUCCCUAUCUGCCGUGGGCGCUGGAGAACUGAGGGGGGCUGCUCCUAGUACGAGAGGACCGGAGUGGACGCAUCACUGGUGUUCGGGUUGUCAUGCCAAUGGCACUGCCCGGUAGCUAAAUGCGGAAGAGAUAAGUGCUGAAAGCAUCUAAGCACGAAACUUGCCCCGAGAUGAGUUCUCCCUGACCCUUUAAGGGUCCUGAAGGAACGUUGAAGACGACGACGUUGAUAGGCCGGGUGUGUAAGCGCAGCGAUGCGUUGAGCUAACCGGUACUAAUGAACCGUGAGGCUUAACCUU
rnacentral:rRNA from 1 species